UCGCGGCCUAUCAGCUUGUUGGAGGGGUAACGGCCCACCAAGGCGACGACGGGUAGCCGGCCUGAGAGGGCGACCGGCCACACUGGGACUGAGACACGGCCCAGACUCCUACGGGAGGCAGCAGUGGGGAAUAUUGCGCAAUGGGGGAAACCCUGACGCAGCGACGCCGCGUGCGGGAUGAAGGCCUUCGGGUUGUAAACCGCUUUCACCAGGGACGAAGCGAGAGUGACGGUACCUGGGGAAGAAGCGCCGGCUAACUACGUGCCAGCAGCCGCGGUAAUACGUAGGGCGCAAGCGUUGUCCGGAAUUAUUGGGCGUAAAGAGCUCGUAGGCGGCCUGUCGCGUCUGCUGUGAAAUCCCGGGGCUUAACCCCGGGCGUGCAGUGGAUACGGGCUGGCUAGAGGCAGGCAGGGGAGAACGGAAUUCCCGGUGUAGCGGUGAAAUGCGCAGAUAUCGGGAGGAACACCGGUGGCGAAGGCGGUUCUCUGGGCCUGUACUGACGCUGAGGAGCGAAAGCGUGGGGAGCGAACAGGAUUAGAUACCCUGGUAGUCCACGCCGUAAACGUUGGGCGCUAGGUGUGGGUCCCUUCCACGGGGUCUGUGCCGCAGCUAACGCAUUAAGCGCCCCGCCUGGGGAGUACA
rnacentral:rRNA from 1 species